UUUAUGUACAGAGUUGAGUGCUCCUAACUAUUGUUUUGAGUACAAUGAUUCUCAUCUGAAUAGGAAGAUCUGAUGC